AGAAAAAGAAAAAGGAAAAAGGAAAAAAGGAAGAAGAGAAAGAAAGGAAAGAGGUAGUUCAAGAUUUUUUAGAGGAAUACUACUUGGAGCUCAAGUUAUUGAUUCUUGAAUUUCUAUCUACACUAAGGUGGUGACGAAGAAUUGGAAAAACUUACCGACCGGCCUAGUCUGUAGCUCGUAUUGAAUAGUAGCUGAGUUGAGCACUACUGGGCCAGUUGAUCUAUCGAGUUGAACUAUAAAUUGUCAAGCAUUGUAUGACUCAUCUUAUCAGUUUAAUAGUUUAUACUUUGGAAAAGACACCUCUUUUGGUCAGAAAUUAGUUCCAUGUUUUGGGCCUGCUAUGUUUUGUAUAUAUUAUACAUUUUGGGUACUAUGGUUUAUAAAUUGUUGCAAAGCUCAAAUUGCCAGUGUUGUAUUUGAAUAAUUGAUUUUCUAUGAGCCAGUGUACCCUAUUUUAAACUA